AUGUCACACACUGCUCGGAUAGCUAAACAAGCAUGGACUCAGAAACCAUGAAUCUUGAUGUAUUCCUUCUUCACUAUGCCGGUCUGCAUCCAGAAACACAAUUUGGCAGUCAGUCAGAUGAAAACAUAAUAAAAUUAGCUCACAUCCUCCCCCCAAAAUAUCAGCAAUUUUCCAGUAUCAAGACGACAGAUCUCUAGAUAGCAACAUUUUGGAACAACAUUUCAUGUAGAUUAUCCAAACUCUUCAAGUUGAUAAGGCUAGCCUAGUGGGUCUGCAUUGUGAUUUCAACUAUUUCAACAACUCCUAUGUCAUUGUCGGUCGAUGAUUGUUGGGAGAUCAAGCCCAACGAUUCGAAGAUAACUCUAGUGGGUGUGUUCAAAUUCCAACUAUAUUUCUAAAGAUGUAUUUUCUAGAAAUGUUGAUGCAUGAAUCAUAUGGGAGAGGACAAAAUCAACAGAUACACCACGUGAAUUUUCACAGCAAUAAAAUAUGGUAAGUUGUAGAGUAAAAGCAAAUCGAAUUAACAUGAUGAGGGUGAUUUCUAUCACUCACACCAUUCAACAUGAAGAUGGGUAGGUAUUUCAAUUGUCAGCAAAACUAUGCACGAGACUCUUUAAUUCCUUGAUUCAAGUUCCAAUAGGGUCUCAGAUAUGAGCUGAUGAGCAAAAACAAACAGAAAACAGAAAAGGAGCCCAUUUAUGGGAGCAUAGACUCUCCUCACACUUCAUAAUGAUGUGAUGAUCUCAUAAGAAUAUUCCUACUCAUCCAACAAGGACUUUAAACGGCAACCACAGCUCCAAUACAGGGUCCAAAACACAUUAGGAAAAAUAAAAUGAAUGAUUUCCUAUAACCUGAUUAAUACACUAACAACAAAACUGUGAAGUCCCAACUCUGAUUAAUACACCAGUAAAAACAUUUACUAGAAAAACAAGUUGCUGUACCU
rnacentral:lncRNA from 1 species